AGGGGUAUAGUUCAGUCGGUAGAACGUCGGUCUCCAAAACCGGAUGUCGAGGGUUCGAGUCCUUCUGCCCCUG
rnacentral:tRNA from 1 species